rnacentral:rRNA from 1 species
GAUGGACGCUGGCGGCGUGCCUAAUACAUGCAAGUCGAGCGAACAGACGAGGAGCUUGCUCCUCUGACGUUAGCGGCGGACGGGUGAGUAACACGUGGAUAACCUACCUAUAAGACUGGGAUAACUUCGGGAAACCGGAGCUAAUACCGGAUAAUAUAUUGAACCGCAUGGUUCAAUAGUGAAAGACGGUUUUGCUGUCACUUAUAGAUGGAUCCGCGCCGCAUUAGCUAGUUGGUAAGGUAACGGCUUACCAAGGCAACGAUGCGUAGCCGACCUGAGAGGGUGAUCGGCCACACUGGAACUGAGACACGGUCCAGACUCCUACGGGAGGCAGCAGUAGGGAAUCUUCCGCAAUGGGCGAAAGCUUGACGGAGCAACGCCGCGUGAGUGAUGAAGGUCUUCGGAUCGUAAAACUCUGUUAUUAGGGAAGAACAAAUGUGUAAGUAACUAUGCACGUCUUGACGGUGCCUAAUCAGAAAGCCACGGCUAACUACGUG